GUGCUCGCUUUGGAAGUACAUACACUAAAACUGGAAAGAUACAGAGACAAUUAGUAGGUCCCUGUGCAAGGAUAACAUGCAAAUUCAUGAAACUUCCCAUAUUUGU